ensembl:lncRNA
AUGGCAAAUUUAACUCCAAGAUACAAAAAUGAAAAAGAAACAAAGACACAAAAUACUGGGACAGUAAGGAAAUCAUCAUUUCAAGAGGAAUCAAUGUUCAAAGAUAUUAUGAAGGAACUCCAACGCAUUUCGGAAAAACAGGACCAAUUCCAGGAACAAAUCCAAAAGAUGAGUAUGGAAAUGACAGAAGAUUUAGGAGAAAUGAAGAAAGACAUGUCAAACCUCAAACAAGAAAUAACGGAGGUAAGGAAAGAAGUAAAAGAGAUGAAGGCAGAGAGACAACAUCUAGAAAAGACUCAAAGUGAACAGAAGUUAAAGAUGGAUCAAAUAGAGGAGAACGGCAACCGAUUGGGAACAAUGCAAGAAAGACUUGAACAACAAGCUAUGGAAUUUCAACUAAGAUAUAGGAAAAUAAUAAUACAACUAACAGCCAAAUUGAUGGACUGGCCGGAAGAAGAUGUGGAAGAUAAAAUAGAUAGAGUCUAUAGAAUUUCGACAAAUUACGCAAGACGUAACAAAGCAGACAGAGACGUCAUCGUCAACUUCACAAAAAAAAUUAUAAGAGAUGACAUCUUAAAAUUGAAUAAUGUUACACCAACAAAUUAUAAAGGGAAGAAAGUGGCCAUACUAAAAGAAAUUCCAUCAACGAUGUUAAGGAAAAGGAGGAAGUAUAUGUUUUUAACAGAAGAAUUAAAAAAAUUAAAAAUUAGAUUCCGUUGGGAAAAAGGAGAGGGAAUAAUGACUACGUACAAAGGUGAAAGGUUUUGGCUAACCUCUGAAGAAAAGGCGAGGGAAUUUUAUAAGAGAUUGAAAAGAGAUACAAGAGGGGACAAAACACCAGAACAAGGGAACCCAACCAAAAAAGCGAGAGAGGAGUCACCUGAAAAUAUGGAACUACUCUAUGGACUAGCAGCAACAAAUCUAGAUCUGGUGGAAGAGGAAGAAGAGGUGGAGGAAGAUGAAGAUCAGAAGACAAAAGGAGGCGAGAAAGGAGAAAGAGAAGAUGGAAAAAAUUAAAAUGAACUGGGAUUUGAAAUGCUAUUCAAAUAAUGUAAAUGGAUUGAACACUCCCCAAAAAAGGAAGAAAAUAUUCAAUUAUGUAAAGAAAGGUAAUUAUGAUGUCGUCGCAUUUCAAGAAACGCACAUAUCACAGAAAUUCACAGCAUUAUUGGCACACAAACAAAUUGGAAAGGAAUUCUAUUCAGCGGCCUCAGAAAAAAAGAAAGGAGUAGUCAUCUAUAUAAAAGAAAAAUAUUCAGCACAAUUGGCAUUUAAAGACACAGAAGGAAGAAUGGUGGGGAUCAAAAUUGAUAAAGGAGGGAACAAAUUAUUAAUAUGUAACAUAUAUGCCCCCAAUGGACCCAAAAAUAAAUUCGUCAAGGAAUUAAAGGAUUUAAUUGAAAGCCAAGAAUAUGAUGAUCUAAUGCUGAUGGGGGACUUCAACGGAGUUUUGGAAAGCAAACUGGAUAAAUCAGACCAAGGAAAAAAGACAAAAGACCCGAAGGCAGGACAACUACCAAUAAACUUCAUACUUUUAAAAAAUUAGAUUUGGAAGAUGCCUGGAGAACUUUACAUCCAACCGAGAAAGACUAUACGUUCUAUUCAAACAGAUUUAAAAAUUGGUCAAGAAUUGAUAUGAUCUGGAUGACUAAAACAUUAAUCUCAAAAAUAAAGAAAAUAAAAAUUCUUCCAAAGAUGGACACGGACCAUUGUCCAUUGGAAAUCCAAAUAAACUAAACAGCAAAAAAGAGGAAUGGAGACUGAACGAAAAUUUAAUAAGAUCUGAAGAAGAUGUAAACAACGGGAAAAAAUGCUUAAAAGAAUAUUUUGAAUUCAAUGAUACAGCCGAUGUGGAAAAGACUAUCAUCUGGGAUGCCAGUAAGGCCGUGAUGAGGGGCAACUUCAUUCAACUAAAUGCCAUAAAAAUAAUGCAAAACGGAUUAAACAAAAAGAAAUCCAAAAGGAAAUUGAAAGAACAGAAACAGAACUGAAAAGACAACCAAAUAACACAUCAAUCAAAACAGAACUAGACAUUUUACAAAGACAAAGACAAAAUUUAGAGAUGGAACAGAGAGCUAAAGAAUUGAAAUUUAUGAAACAAUAUCAUUUUAAUAACGCAAAUAAACCUGGGAAAUGGAUGACAAGAUUGUUAAGGAAAAGGAAACAAGAAAGCUGGAUAAUCCAAAUCAACGAGGAAGGAAGAUCUUAUACCACAGACCAUGAAAUCCUGAAACAAUUCAACAAGUUCUAUGGGAAAUUGUACACAAAGGAUCAUAUUAAAAAUGAGGAUAUAAUGAAAUACUUAGGAAGACAAAAUAUCCCGAAAUUAACAGAGACACAGAGAGAAAUGUUAAACAAGGACAUCACAGAAAGAGAAAUAGACACUGCUAUAAAAAAAUUGAACAACAAUAAGUCCCCAGCCCUGAUGGUCUAACAGCAAUUUACUACAAAAAAUUUAAAGAAGAAUUAAUACCUCACUUAAAAACUAUAAUGAACCAAGCCCUACAUUUGGGUAAAAUGCCAAACUCAUGGAAAGAGGCAAAUAUAGUCAUGAUCCCAAAAGAACACUGAUGCUACAAAUGUCAAAAAUUACAGACCAAUAUCGUUAUUAAAUAUCGACUAUAAAAUUUUUACGGCAAUAAUUGCGGAGAGAUUAAAAGAAUAUUUAAAAACUUGGAUCGGGGAGGACCAAACUGGGUUCCUACCAAAUAGGAAUAUUAAAGACAACGUCAGGAGCUUAAUUGACACCAUAGAGUACUAUGAGUGGAAUAAUCAAAAAGAAUUGGCAAUAUUAGCUAUAGACUUUGAGAAAGCAUUUGACAGCAUUAACUGGGAAUUUU